CCUCAUGCCUUUGAAAACAUUCACUGUUGCUUCUCUUUUUAUUGGCAGUGCUGCUUCUGCUUCUGUUUUCAUUCUUCAUGCUAAUGGCAUUCAUGGGGUGGAUGAUUUCAUUGAAGCUGGUGCCAAUUUAAGAGCUAAACUUGGGUUACGUCCACGCACACCGAAUAAGAAUAUGGAUGAAUCAUAACCAAAUCCUCAUUCACAUCUUGUGAUAUUACUUGGUGGUGUGGUUCCUAGUUGGAGAAGCAGUCAUAACAUUUUGUGGCAUGGUUCCUUGAAAGGUUGAAGGUUUGAUGUGCAAUUCAACAAUUACAUGCUUAUUAGAAACACUACAUCCAAUUGAUAGGAUUUUCUAUUUUUUGCCCUCUGGUUGUGUAGCUAACAAUUUUGAGUAUGCAACUUGGAAUACAUUGUCAUCAAUAAUUUGUAUUUCACUGAUUUUAGUCAGCCGGCACUUUUUGACGGCACUUUUUGACACAGUUGUAGCAUCAGGAAG